rnacentral:rRNA from 1 species
GAAUUUUGGACAAUGGGCGAAAGCCUGAUCCAGCAAUGCCGCGUGCAGGAUGAAGGCCUUCGGGUUGUAAACUGCUUUUGUACGGAACGAAAAGCUUUGGGUUAAUACCCUGGAGUAAAGACGGUACCGAAAGAAUAAGCACCGGCUAACUACGGGACACAAGCCGCGGUAAUCCGGGGGGUGCAAGCGUUAAUCGGAAUUAGUGGGCUGAAAGCGUGCGCAGGCGGUUUUGUAAGACAGAGGUGAAAUCCCCGGGCUCAACCUGGGAACUGCCUUUGUGACUGCAAGGCUAGAGUACGGCAGAGGGGGGUGGAAUUCCGCGUGUAGCAGUGAAAUGCGUAGAUAUGCGGAGGAACACCGAUGGCGAAGGCAACCCCCUGGGCCUGUACUGACGCUCAUGCACGAAAGCGUGGGGAGCAAACA